AGUGUGGUUUAUAAUGUGCUCAUGGAUAGCGAGGUGUCUCCGUCUAUCUAAGUAUAUAACUGUCUGCUUCUAUAUUGUGAUUUUAAUACGUACAUAAAGCAGCCAGCCCUGUGGAAAAAGUGCUGGUCGUGACCGAGAUGUGAGUAGUCCAUGACUAUAGUUGGAAUAGGAGAAAAUGGUGAUUGAGGCAGACAUGGUAUAUCGCUGUCGCAGACUCAUGUGACAAGCUUGUUACGUCUUUUUUCUCUCCAUUUCAUAUGAUUCAAGUAUCUGGGCCUACCUAUGCGAUCGGAAUGCAUGGAAAGACAUCAAUCAGUAUAUAAACAGAAAUGAAUGCAUAUAAUGCGUGGAAGUGGAAAUGGGUACCCUAUAGCUAGCAAAGUACAAAAAGACCCGCAAUUAUUUCGCGGCUGGUCUAUAUAUAGUUGAACUAGGGACAGAGCUAUCAUUAUUAGGGCAU
rnacentral:lncRNA from 1 species